rnacentral:rRNA from 1 species
UCGGGAAUUUUGGGCAAUGGGCGAAAGCCUGACCCAGCAACGCCGCGUGAAGGAUGAAGUAUUUCGGUAUGUAAACUUCGUAAGAAUAGGAAGAAUAAAUGACGGUACUAUUUGUAAGGUCCGGCUAACUACGUGCCAGCAGCCGCGGUAAUACGUAGGGACCAAGCGUUGUUCGGAUUUACUGGGCGUAAAGGGCGCGUAGGCGGCGUGGUAAGUCACUUGUGAAAUCUCCGAGCUUAACUCGGAACGGUCAAGUGAUACUGCUGUGCUAGAGUACAGAAGGGGCAAUCGGAAUUCUUGGUGUAGCGGUGAAAUGCGUAGAUAUCAAGAGGAACACCUGAGGUGAAGACGGGUUGCUGGGCUGACACUGAGGUGCGAAAGCAUGGGGAUCGAAACAGGAUUAGAUACCCUAGUAGUCCC